AAUAAACCAAUUCCUGUGUUUUUGAUUGAAUUUUUGACUCUUCGGCUUAUUUAAAAAAAUUUUAUGAUUAAUAUGUUUAUUGUUAUUACAUGAUAAAACAUGAAUAGUACUUUGCAUGUGACUAUUUUUUUAAUUUUUUAAUAAAUUCUUAAAAUAAGACGGAUGGUCAAACACUCUAUAUGCAAAACUCAGA
rnacentral:pre_miRNA from 1 species